CAGUCGCCGCGGUAAUACGGAGGGGGCUAGCGUUGUUCGGAACUACUGGGCGUAAAGCGCACGUAGGCGGCUUGGUAAGUUAGAGGUGAAAGCCCGGAGCUCAACUCCGGAAUUGCCUUUAAGACUGCCGAGCUAGUAGGUGAGAGAGGUAAGUGGAAUUCCGAGUGUAGAGGUGAAAUUCAUAGAUAUUCGGAAGAACACCAGUGGCGAAGGCGGCUUACUGGCUCAUUCUAGACGCUGAGGUGCGAAAGCGUGGGGAGCAAACAGGAUUAGAUACCCCUGUAGUCCCUGUCUCUUAUAC
rnacentral:rRNA from 1 species